UGAGGAAUCUUGCGCAAUGGGCGAAAGCCUGACGCAGCGACGCCGCGUGGAGGACGAAGGUCUUCGGAUCGUAAACUCCUGUCAAGUGGGACGAAAACUGUUGGGAUGAAUAAGCUCAGCAGUUGACGGUACCGCUGAAGGAAGCCCCGGCUAACUCCGUGCCAGCAGCCGCGGUAAUACGGAGGGGGCCAGCGUUGUUCGGAAUUAUUGGGCGUAAAGGGCGCGUAGGCGGCUUGGUAAGUCAGUUGUGAAAUCCCUCGGCUCAACCGAGGAAUUGCGUCUGAGACUGCCAGGCUUGAGUCCCGGAGAGGGUAGCGGAAUUCCCAGUGUAGCGGUGAAAUGCGUAGAUAUUGGGAGGAACACCAGUGGCGAAGGCGGCUACCUGGACGGGCACUGACGCUGAGGCGCGAAAGCGUGGGGAGCAAACAG
rnacentral:rRNA from 1 species